rnacentral:tRNA from 3 species
GGGCGAGUGGCGGAACUGGCAGACGCACAUGACUUAGGAUCAUGCGGGCUAAUCCCCUUGGAGGUUCAAGUCCUCUCUCGCCCA